rnacentral:rRNA from 1 species
UUAAGCUACAAAGGGCAUAUGGUGGAUGCCUAGGCGUUCCGAGCCGAUGAAGGACGCGAUAAGCUGCGAUAAGUCAUGGGGAGCCGCAAGUAGGCUUUGAUCCAUGAAUCUCCAAAUGGGGCAACCCGAUACGAGUCAUGUCGUAUCAUCCAUGUGUGACAUGGAAGGCACACCCGGUGAACUGAAACAUCUAAGUAGCCGGAGGAAGAGUAAUCAAACGAGAUUCCCUCAGUAGCGGCGAGCGAACAGGGAAGAGCCCAAACCGGACGUCUUCGGACGACCGGGGUUGAGGACCAGCAUCAAGGGAAGGCAAGAUAGUCGAACAGUCUGGGAAGGCUGAGCAUAGACGGUGAAACUCCGGUAGACGAAAUCUUACCCAACGGGCUGGUAUCCAGAGUACCACGAGACACGUGAAACCUUGUGGGAAGCAGGGUGGACCACCAUCCAAGGCAAAAUACUACGGAACGACCGAUAGCGCAUAGUACCGUGAGGGAAAGGUGAAAAGAACCGCGGGAGCGGAGUGAAAUAGAACCUGAAACCGUAUGUCUACAAGCAGUCGAAGCACUUUAUAUGUGCGACGGCGUGCCUAUUGAAGAAUGAACCGGCGAGUUAAUUUCAGAGGCGAGGUUAAGCGGGAGACGCGGAGCCGAAGCGAGAGCGAGUCUGAAUAGGGCGCAAGUCUCUGGGAUUAGACCCGAAACCACAGUGAUCUAUGCAUGGCCAGGUUGAAGCUCAGGUAAAAAUGAGUGGAGGACCGAACCCGUGAGUGUUGAAAAACUUUGGGAUGAGCUGUGCAUAGGGGUGAAAUGCCAAUCGAACGUGGAGAUAGCUGGUUCUCCCCGAAAUAGCUUUAGGGCUAGCCUCAGGUAACACAUGGAGACGGUAGAGCACUGAUCGGGUAAGGGAGCGUAAAGCUUACCGAGCCUAGUCAAACUGCGAAUGGCUUCAUGAGAAGAGCCUGGGAGUCAGAAUGCGAGUGAUAAGACCCGUAUUCAAAAGGGAAACAGCCCAGAUCGCCGACUAAGGUCCCAAAUGCUGUACUAAGUGGAAAAGGAUGUAGGACUUCCAAAACAACCAGGAUGUUGGCUCAGAAGCAGCCACCAUUCAAAGAGUGCGUAAUAGCUCACUGGUCGAGAGGCCCUGCGCCGAAAAUAUCCGGGGCUCAAGUACAGAACCGAAGUCGCGGGAUGCGCAAGCAUCGGUAGGGGAGCGUUCCAAGCAGGUUGAAGGCAGACCGGAAGGACGGCUGGACAGCUUGGAAGUGAGAAUGCUGGUAUGAGUAGCGAAACGAUCCGUGAGAAUCGGAUCCACCGAAAGCCUAAGGGAUCCUGAGCAACGCUCGUCGUCUCAGGGUAAGUCGGGACCUAAGCCGAGGCAUAAAGCAUAGGCGAUGGACAACAGGCGAAAAUUCCUGUACUGCAUGAUGUUGUUUGAGGAUGGAGUGACACAGCAAGGAGCUUGAGCGCGCGAUUGGAAAUGCGCGUCGAAGGCGGUAGGCUGGUAUAGAGGCAAAUCCCUGUACUAAGGCCGAGAACUGAUAGAUAGGAGCGUACUUCGGUACAAUCCGAAUUCAAGCGUACUACACUGUCGAGAAAAGCUUCUAACGAGACAUCAUGUACCCGUACCAAAACCGACACAGGUAGGCGGGGAGAGAAUCCUAAGGUGCGCGGGAAAACCCUCGUUAAGGAACUCGGCAAAAUGCAUCCGUAACUUCGGGAGAAGGAUGGCCGGAGCUGGUGAAGACCUUCGCGGUUGGAGCUGGAGCCGGCGGCAGAAGAGAAGCCCAAGCGACUGUUUACCACAAACACAGGUGCCUGCUAAAGAGAAAUCUGACGUAUAGGUGCUGACACCUGCCCGGUGCUGGAAGGUUAAGAGGAGAGGUUAUUCGCAAGAAGAAGCUUUGAAUUGAAGCCCCAGUAAACGGCGGCCGUAACUAUAACGGUCCUAAGGUAGCGAAAUUCCUUGUCGGGU